rnacentral:rRNA from 1 species
UACGUAGGGUGCAAGCGUUGUUCGGAAUUACUGGGCGUAAAGGGCGCGUAGGCGGCCUGUUAAGUCGAACGUGAAAUCCCCGGGCUCAACCCGGGAACUGCGUCCGAUACUGGCAGGCUUGAAUCCGGGAGAGGGAUGCGGAAUUCCGGGUGUAGCGGUGAAAUGCGUAGAUAUCUGGAGGAACACCGGUGGCGAAGGCGGCAUCCUGGACCGGCAUUGACGCUGAGGCGCGAAAGUCAGGGGAGCAAACGGG